rnacentral:rRNA from 1 species
UAGGGAAUCUUCGGCAAUGGACGAAAGUCUGACCGAGCAACGCCGCGUGAGUGAAGAAGGUUUUCGGAUCGUAAAACUCUGUUGUUAGAGAAGAACAAGGACGUUAGUAACUGAACGUCCCCUGACGGUAUCUAACCAGAAAGCCACGGCUAACUACGUGCCAGCAGCCGCGGUAAUACGAAGGUGGCAAGCGUUGUCCGGAUUUAUUGGGCGUAAAGCGAGCGCAGGCGGUUUCUUAAGUCUGAUGUGAAAGCCCCCGGCUCAACCGGGGAGGGUCAUUGGAAACUGGGAGACUUGAGUGCAGAAGAGGGGAGUGGAAUUGCAUGUGUAGCGGUGAAAUGCGUAGAUAUAUGGAGGAACACCAGUGGCGAAGGCGGCUCUCUGGUCUGUAACUGACGCUGAGGCUCGAAAGCGUGGGGAGCAAACAGG